UACGGGGGGGGCAAGCGUUGUUCGGAAUUACUGGGCGUAAAGGGCGCGUAGGCGCCUUCUAAGUCAGACGUGAAAUCCCUCGGCUCAACCGAGGAACUGCGUCUGAUACUGGAAGGCUUGAAUCCGGGAGAGGGAUGUGGAAUUCCAGGUGUAGCGGUGAAAUGCGUAGAUAUCUGGAGGAACACCGGUGGCGAAGGCGGCAUCCUGGACCGGUAUUGACGCUGAGGCGCGAAAGCUAGGGGAGCAAACGGG
rnacentral:rRNA from 1 species